rnacentral:rRNA from 1 species
UGCCGCGUGUGUGAGAAGGCCUUCGGGUUGUAAAGCUCUUUCUUUUGUGAGGAAAAGUUAGUAGUUAAUACCUGCUAGCCGUGACGUUAACAACAGAAGAAGCACCGG